AACGCUGAAAGCAUCUAAGCGUGAAACUCGCCUGAAGAUGAGACUUCCCUAGGGAAUUAAUCCCUCUAAAGAGACGUUCGAGACCAGGACGUUGAUAGGUCGGGUGUGGAAGAGUGGUAACACUUGUAGCUAACCGAUACUAAUUGCUCGUGAGGCUUGACUCUAUCAUUU
rnacentral:rRNA from 1 species